CACUAUCGGAGAGUUUGAUCCUGGCUCAGGGUGAACGCUGGCGGCGUGCCUAAGACAUGCAAGUCGAACGGGCCUGAUUUCGGUCAGGCUAGUGGCGGACGGGUGAGUAACACGUGGGUGAUCUACCCCAAAGUCUGGGACAACUAGGGGAAACCUUAGCUAAUCCCGGAUGGUGAGGCUUCUCCUGUGAAGUCUCUAAAGAUUUAUCGCUUUGGGAUGAGCCCGCGGCGCAUCAGCUAGUUGGUGGGGUAAUGGCCUACCAAGGCGACGACGCGUAGCUGGUCUGAGAGGACGACCAGCCACAGGAGCACUGAGACACGGGCUCCACUCCUACGGGAGGCAGCAGUUAGGAAUCUUCGUCAAUGGGCGAAAGCCUGAACGAGCGACGCCGCUUGAGGGACGAAGCCCUUCGGGGUGUAAACCUCUGAACAGGGGACGAUGAUGACGGUACCCUGCUAAUAGCACCGGCUAACUCCGUGCCAGCAGCCGCGGUAAUACGGAGGGUGCGAGCGUUACCCGGAUUUACUGGGCGUAAAGGGCGUGUAGGCGGUUUUCUAAGUCCGGGGCUAAAGACCAGGGCUCAACCCUGGGUUUGCCUUGGAUACUGGAAAGCUCGACGGCUGGAGGGGGCAGCGGAAUUUCCGGAGUAGCGGUGAAAUGCGCAGAUACCGGAAGGAACGCCAAUAGCGAAGGCAGCUGCCUGGACAGUACGUGACGCUGAGGCGCGAAAGCGUGGGGAGCAAACCGGAUUAGAUACCCGGGUAGUCCACGCCCUAAACGAUGAGUGCUGGGUGUCCGGCGUUUGCCGGGUGCCGAAGCUAACGCGUUAAGCACUCCGCCUGGGAAGUACGGUCGCAAGACUGAAACUCAAAGGAAUUGACGGGGGCCCGCACAAGCGGUGGAGCAUGUGGUUUAAUUCGAAGGAACGCGAAGAACCUUACCAGGCCUUGACAUCCUAGGAACCCUGAUGAAAGUCGGGGGUGCCCGCAAGGGAACCUAGAGACAGGUGCUGCAUGGCUGUCGUCAGCUCGUGUCGUGAGAUGUUGGGUUAAGUCCCGCAACGAGCGCAACCCUUGUCCUUAGUUGCUAACGGGUAAGCCGAGCUCUCUAGGGAGACUGCCCGCGAAAGCGGGAGGAAGGCGGGGAUGACGUCUAGUCCGCAUGGCCCUUACGGCCUGGGCGACACACGUGCUACAAUGCCCGGCACAGAGCGCUGCCACAUCGCAAGAUGGAGCUAAUCGCCUAAAUCCGGGCUCAGUUCGGAUUGGGGUCUGCAACCCGACCCCAUGAAGCUGGAAUCGCUAGUAAUCGCGGAUCAGCCAUGCCGCGGUGAAUACGUUCCCGGGCCUUGUACACACCGCCCGUCACGCCAUGGGAGUGGGUUUCACCUGAAGUCGCUGGGAGCCACAGGCAGGCGCCGAGGGUGGGGCUCAUGACUGGGGCGAAGUCGUAACAAGGUAGGUGUACCGGAAGGUGCGCCUGGAUCACCUCCUUUCU
rnacentral:rRNA from 1 species